rnacentral:lncRNA from 1 species
UGCCGUAGAUAUAUUAAUAUUAUGUGAUACAUGACAGAAGCUCGAAACAAAUGACAAUCAAUGAAAAACCCUAUUGCCCAAUUACUGAAAUGGUCAUCACGAAACGGUCACUAAAAGAUCACAAUUCUUGUUGGAACAGUGGGAAGGACGAUCCGAGGACGAUCAUAUUUUUGUUGGAACGGAUUUUGUUUACUGCGCAGGAGCGUUACCGUUUCGUGACGGUUCUCGGUCGUGUUGGAACAAACCUAUAGUUAUUCAAUUAUGAAUUUUAGAUGUCACAGUAAGAAAUAUUUUAUAACAUGGCAACACUGUCAGUGUUUUUAGAUUACCUCAAAUUGGCUCAAAUGUCAACUACAAAUUGGUUAUGUUUGGUUGCCCUAAACUUGAUGUCCGCUUUGUUAAUUAAUAUUUUAAUAAUAUGUAAUUUCCAGAUAUAAAUAAGCAAUGCUGUUGUUUUCAUAAUUGCACAGAGAAUUAACAUUUUGUACUAACCAUUAAUGUGACACCAAGUUUUUCUUCUGGUGUUAUCACUCUCUUUCUACCAUUCUUGUACGAGAUUUCGUUAUGUCUUCCUUGAUAACACAUAACAAGAAAUGGAACUGGUUCUUCGUCACGCGAAAGAAACUAUGAAACUUGGUCUCAUUAUCAACCAUAUAUUUACUUAUUAAAUUGGUUUGGUAUCCUUCUUCAACCCUAUUCACAUACAUUUCAUCAGUUUUACUCUUUUUUGGUUUACAUUCAUCUGGGAGCAUCAUUUUUAAAAUGCUCUCCUCCAAUUCUUGCUCUUUUAAUAUGUGAAGAUAAACCUGUCUCUGUAGAUGCUCCAUUAUUAUUAUCACUAAAUUAAUUACUACUUACUACUAAUUACUACUACCUACUAAUUAUAAAUUACUAAAUAUUACUAUUAUUAUAAAUGACUAAUGAAUAUUAUUAAUUACUAAGUAUUAUUAUAAAUUACUAAAUAUUCCUAUUAUUAUUAAUUACUAUAAUUAUAAAUUAUUAAGUAUCAAUAUUAUUAUAAAUUACUAUGAAGCAAUGUUACUAUGUUAUCGGUGCUAUUAGAUAAUAGGUCUGUUCCUUUGUUUUUUAGUGUUACACUUUUGAGUGUAAGUGUAAGAAAUUCUAUGGACAUUUGAGUGUAAAUUACAGCGGACAGUAUUAAACGAAAAUUAUCGGUGUGCCAAUCAAGCAAAGGGACAAGGAACUUCCGAAUAUGGCCUAACUGGGGGCACAUAACAUAACCUAAUCCUAAUAUUUACAUUUGUAAAGAAUAUCCUGUUUGUUUUUAUUUUUUAUUGUCGAUUGUGCAGCGAAAUUGUGAUAGCAAAUCAAAUAUAAAGUAGUUUAUCGCCUACAGAACUGAAUUAGUCCAUAGCAGUUAUCAGUUUGCAAGUAGCAAGGGCUUUCUUGAGAAGCUUAUACAUGUAACUUGUAUUGUUGUAAAUUGUGGGAGUAGGGCAGACAGGGAAAAGUCAUAUUUUGUACUGUUCCCAAGGCUCCCCAUGCAAUACAUUUAAAUGAAUUAUCCAAACAAAGCCGGGGACAAUGGAUAAAAGCCACAAGAAGAACAGAUAUAAGGGAACUAAAAUUAAAAUAUGAAAAGUAAACAUUUUAUAAGUGGAACAACCACCAGAUAUUUAAAAGGUAUAAAAAGAAGAAACUGCUAGAACUUCAAAACAAAUGUGUUUGACUAGUAAAGAUUUUGAUAAAUAACAGGAGUUACUUUGGGCUAUAGCUACGUGCAGAUUUAUUUCCUUGUGGCUUCCUAUGUUAAUUCUUAUUAAUUAUGCACUUAAAUAUGUUUUUAGUCUCAGGAAGAUUUUUUAUUUGAUUAUUUUUGAAUAAACAUUAUUAUUAUUAUUAUCUUAAUUUCCAUUAAAUAAAUUAACUGUAAUCAAUCAAGUAAUCGUUUAAAUGUUAAUAAAUUAUCAAGUAUGA